rnacentral:rRNA from 1 species
CGGAGGGUGCAAGCGUUAUCCGGAUUCACGUGGGUUUAAAGGGAGCGUAGGUGGGCUGGUAAGUCAGUGGUGAAAUCCCCGAGCUUAACUUGGGAACUGCCAUUGAUACUAUCAGUCUUGAAUACUGUGGAGGUAAGCGGAAUAUAUCAUGUAGCGGUGAAAUGCUUAGAUAUGAUAUAGAACACCAAUAGCGAAGGCAGCUUACUACGCAGUUAUUGACACUGAGGCUCGAAAGCGUGGGGAUCAAACAGGAUUAGAUACCCUGGUAGUCCACGCCCUAAACUAUGGAUACUCGACAUCAGCGAUACACAGUUGGUGUCUGAGCGAAAGCAUUAAGUAUCCCACCUGGGAAGUACGUCCGCAAGGAUG